rnacentral:rRNA from 1 species
CCUACGGGCGGCAGCAGUGGGGAAUAUUGCACAAUGUGGGAAACCCUGAUGCAGCGACGCCGCGUGAGUGAAGAAGUAUUUCGGUAUGUAAAGCUCUAUCAGCAGGGAAGAAAAUGACGGUACCUGUUUAAUAAGCCCCGGCUAACUACGUGCCAGCAGCCGCGGUAAUACGUAGGGGGCAAGCGUUAUCCGGUUUUACUGGGUGUAAAGGGAGCGUAGACGGCAGCACAAGUCUGGAGUGAAAUGCCGGGGCUUAACCCCGGAACUGCUUUGGAAACUGUGCCGCUAGAGUGCAGGAGAGGUAAGUGGAAUGCCUAGUGUAGCGGUGAAAUGCGUAGAUAGUAGGAGGAACACCAGUGGCGAAGGCGGCUUACUGGACUGUAACUGACGUUGAGGCUCGAAAGCGUGGGGAGCAAACAGGAGUAGAUACCCCAGUAGUC